rnacentral:rRNA from 1 species
AUUGAACGCUGGCGACAUGCCUUACACAUGCAAGUCGAACGGUAACAGGUUAAGCUGACGAGUGGCAAACUGGUGAGUAAUAUAUCGGAACGUGCCCAGUCGUGGGGGAUAACGUAGCGAAAGCUACGCUAAUACCGCAUACGAUCUACGGAUGAAAGCGGGGGAUCGCAAGACCUCGCGCGAUUGGAGCGGCCGAUAUCAGAUUAGGUUGUUGGUGAGGUAAAAGCUCACCAAGCCUGCGAUCUGUAGCUGGUCUGAGAGGACGACCAGCCACACUGGAACUGAGACACGGUCCAGACUCCUACGGGAGGCAGCAGUGGGGAAUUUUGGACAAUGGACGCAAGUCUGAUCCAGCAAUGCCGCGUGCAGGACGAAGGCCUUCGGGUUGUAAACUGCUUUUGUACGGAACGAAACGGUGAGCUCUAAUACAGUUUGCUAAUGACGGUACCGUAAGAAUAAGCACCGGCUAACUACGUGCCAGCCGCCGCCGUAAUAC